AACGAACGCUGGCGGCAGGCCUAACACAUGCAAGUCGAGCGAACCCUUCGGGGUUAGCGGCGGACGGGUUAGUAACGCGUGGGAAUAUACCCUUUGGUACGGAAUAGCCUCGGGAAACUGAGAGUAAUACCGUAUGUGCCCUUCGGGGGAAAGAUUUAUCGCCAAAGGAUUAGCCCGCGUUGGAUUAGGUAGUUGGUGGGGUGAUGGCCUACCAAGCCUACGAUCCAUAGCUGGUUUGAGAGGAUGAUCAGCAACACUGGGACUGAGACACGGCCCAGACUCCUACGGGAGGCAGCAGUGGGGAAUCUUAGACAAUGGGCGCAAGCCUGAUCUAGCCAUGCCGCGUGGACGAUGAAGGCCUUAGGGUUGUAAAGUCCUUUCAGAUGGGAAGAUAAUGACGGUACCAUCAGAAGAAGCCCCGGCUAACUCCGUG
rnacentral:rRNA from 1 species